AAACUGAAAGUAGAACAAAUGGACACGUGACCACCCAAUAUUUAGGUUGUGACUCCCAGCUGGCGUGACUCUGAGCUAAGUGCUUUUGCUACAAUCACAUACAGAAGGUUUCAAGUUGCUUGAAGCUACUCAGUGGUGAAAGUGAACUCCCUGAUGCACAGGACUCUGGAAUGAGCUCUAGCUUCAUGUCUUUAGUUCAAACAUAAAGAAAUAAGAAGAUUAUCUGCCACUGCUGAAAUGGAGGAGAGAAGGCUGACAUCUCCCACUCUCACUGUCUUCCAUGCAUUGCUACAUCCUGAAUGGGAUGCCUAGGGGCCUCCCAGCUAACUGGACGUGUAAAUAAGAGUUUUAGAU
rnacentral:lncRNA from 1 species